rnacentral:lncRNA from 1 species
GCUGACUAACCUUCGAGUAAUCCUCAAGAAAACACCUAAAACAGGGACUGACCCAAACUAACAGACAUGCUAACGAAAUAGUUUUGAAUGGCAGAGUCCAACAACAACAGCACACGCCAAAUCCAAAGCCACCGGACAAAAUAGCUAGGAAAGGCAACCAGAAACUGCUGAGAAUCUAGGCAUGCUGUAGCAUCUCCCGCAUAGCAACAAAAAUUCCAGAGAUCCGACCACCUAAUGCAGCCAAAGGAAUUUAAGCAGAUCCGAGGACAUCCAAACACCUAGUGGACCUGUACAUACGAACUUACCUACAUACACUCGUCGUGCUAGAGAGGAAGAAAAGGAAAAGUUCACCAACCAGAAACCUAACAUCUCACGGUAGCAGAAAAUGGUAGGCUGAUCAAAUCCGGCACGGAUGACACCAACUACGGCAGCUCGAGGCGGUGGAGCUCGGGAGAAAUCCCCAGAUCUGGUCCAAAACUCGAUAAAUAAUGUUCCUGCAAAUACACAGGUCGCGCAACAUUGGUUUCUUAUGCAUUGACAAACUAAGCAUAUAAUUAAACAUACAAUAAAUUGUAGUACUUUGAAAACAGUAGCACACAACUAAACAUUUUGGGCAAGUGUACAGAAGGCUUGCAUAAACGUCUCAAAUUAACAGUAAUAACUACAAAGGAAAGGAAUUCACAAAUAGCAUUGACUUGUGAACAUGAAUAUCUGACGGAACAAUCAUAGCCAAAUUCUGUGCAUCUAUUCCCAGUAAGAAGAUCUACUCUAGAAUCUAAGAACCAGAAACGCAAUGUAUCCGCCCAUGUGGCCAAUUGGCCAUGUCUGUCUAAUCACCAUGGAUGAUCCCGAACUAUGAAAGCACCUUGUCUACUUCGUUCCAAUAAAGCUGGUUCGCUUUUAACCUGCGCCGUCCAGAGGGCUGUGCAAGAGGUGCGACCGCACAAGGCCCCCAUAUCCCAGGGGCCCCCAAUUUUGGGCCGACGUUGUAUAUUUUUUGUUAGCCUAUGUAAUUUCUCUGCACUGUCUUGGGCCUGUGGCCUGGUCUGACCGCUCAAGCACUCCCUCCCAAUCGCGAUCGAUCGCAUGCCCUGAAGCCUCUUCCUAACUCCCUCAGCUCUCUCUGCCCGAUGACUCGAUCUAAUCUGCUUGGCGAGGCACGACGGCAAGAAGCAGGAUGGCAAGGGCAUGCAGCAGAAUUCGCCCCAAAAAUUCAAAUAUAAACCAGCGCGAGCAAGGGCUAACGCCACCAAGAAAAGCAGAAGGCAGCCGCCGCUAGCCGGCGGUCAAACAUCCGAGCCUAGGCCAGAUCAAUUUGCAGAUUAAUCAGGUGCGCCCAAGACCAAGCAGAUUUAAUUUGGUUAUUUUUCUAUUCAGUUAUUUAAUGGCUAAUGAGUACAUUGUAUAGGUGGAUCAGUUCUUAAGUUAAUUAACUAAUAAAUUGCUAUAUGUUUAUUGUUCAACCGAUGUAAUCUUUAUAGAAGAUAGUUGGUGUAUUAGAUAUAUUUCAUAAUCUUGUACGAAAUCCAUCUAUUUAAGUUAAUAGGACUUAAAUGAGAGUAUCCUUUAGUCAUAUUAAUAUUUUUAGUUACAAGAGUUUUUUAUAUUUUAAGGCAUCAUUUGCAUUUCGCACCGGCCCCCGAAUUCCUGGAGACGGCCCUGCUUUUAACCUCCAGCGAAAUUAUAAAACCACAAUCGUAUGUUCCCACUCUCGCACACGACAGCGUACGCCCACGCACAGAAACACGGAAAGAAAAAAAAAUCCCAACGCUCGACUGAGAAACAUUGGGACAGCCAAAUCUCCGAGCGUGAACAAAAGUGGAAUCACCGCGAAUCCAAACCUAGCUAGGCGCAUCCACGGCCGCUAGACAAAGACCACAAUCAUCUCAGAUAGCUUUACAUACGCGUAGUAAAUUCGCGAAGGAAAAAGAGCGGGACGGUGGGGGGAUCGACCUCGGCGAUGAUAGAGAGGACGAUGAUGUUGCGGCCGGAGAACUGGGUCCGGCAGCGCAUCCGCGCGUGCACGUACGACGGCCGCCUCCUUGGACAGGUACUGCAGGCGCUUGUCGUAGUUGUCGCGGCCGCCGAAGAGCCCCUCCCCAGCACCCCUCCUCCUCCUUUUCCUUGCCCUUGGCCUCCACCGGCUCGCCUACUCUAUCCGCCGCCGUGGAAGCCAUUGCCGGGGCUCGCGGAUGUGCGCGCCGCGAGGCUGUGGAGCUCGGGAGAAAUCCCCAGAUCUGAUCCAAAACUCUACAGUGAAAGGCUCACUGAGGAUAGGCACGCGCAGGGUGUAUAGGGUGGUCUCGCUACCCUCGACGGCGCUAUCUCUGUAGCGAGCGUACCCGAGGGCGUGUCGCCGGCCGCCACGCUCGUACGACUGGGACGGAGAGUCGGAGAGGACGCAAAUGACGUGCGAAAUUCCACAUUUGCCCGUGGCCAACCCACAAAUCCAC